rnacentral:rRNA from 1 species
UGGGGAAUAUUGGGCAAUGGGCGAAAGCCUGACCCAGCGACGCCGCGUGCGGGAUGAAGGCCUUCGGGUUGUAAACCGCUUUCAGCAGGGAAGAAGCGAAAGUGACGGUACCUGAAGAAGAAGCACCGGCUAACUAUGUGCCAGCAGCCGCGGUAAUACAUAGGGUGCAAGCGUUGUCCGGAAUUAUUGGGCGUAAAGAGCUCGUAGGUGGUUCGUUACGUCGGAUGUGAAAACCUGAGGCUCAACCUCAGGCCUGCAUUCGAUACGGGCGAACUUGAGUGUGGUAGGGGAGGCUGGAAUUCCUGGUGUAGCGGUGGAAUGCGCAGAUAUCAGGAGGAACACCAAUGGCGAAGGCAGGCCUCUGGGCCACUACUGACACUGAGGAGCGAAAGCGUGGGGA